UAAAACCUAAAUGUGAAUAUACUUAUCUACAGAAUAAUUUGUGAUUGCAUUUCAUUGUAUGUCAUGUGAAAUCAUCAUAAUUUACUUUAAUACACUUCCAUUCUUGAGUAUUAGCUUGUUUGCAAAUUUUCAGCUUGAAUUUUAACUUUUUACUUACAUUUUGUGGUAAGGACACUUAAAAUCUACUUUCUUAGCAAUUUUCAAAUGUACAAUGUAUUGUUCAAAAUUUAAGUGAAAUCUAAUGUUUGCCUUUUAAAGUAACAAAUCAAACACAUUCCUAUUUAAUAGAUAACUUUGGUUCCUUAGGGUAAAAUCCUGAGAUUAGAACUACAGGGUCAAGGAAUAAAUACAUUGAAGAACAUUAUAGUUUGUUUUGCUAAAUAAACAAGUUAUAUCCUUUGGGACUCUUAUUGGACAUGUGGGACUAUACUAAGACCAAAAAGUAGGUUUUGUCUCAAUAUGGGAAAUGACACUUUCACAAAAUAGCUGUCCCAAUGAUAUUCAAGCAGAUGUUGAGUGAACAUCUGUCAGGGAUGCUGGAAAGGAGACUCAUAUUGGGUGGCAGUUGGUUUAUAAAUUUUAAUGACUUUUUCAACUCUUCAAUUUGUAAAGACACUAUUUCCUGUUCCACAUUCCUCAUGGCUUAAUUCUCUCAAAACAAUGUUUUAAUAAAUACUCAUUGAUCUUAGUGCCAAGAUUACCUUCUGGUUUCUAUUUACAAUUCUCAUUAGAUCUUGUGUUUUCAUUUCCAAGUAAAUAAAGCAACAUCUCUUCAUUAUUUUCUUCAAAAGUAAGCUCUUUCUAAAAAGGGCAUGAAACUAUACAUGUAAAAGUAUAUUUCAUAGGAAGGAUUCUUUUUAAAAUCAUGUUUUGGCACCCUGAUAAAGCUAUUUUUAAUUUUUGUGCUGGAAUGUAGAAUAUAUGAAUACUUGAUUUCUGUGGGAUUGGAAUCUUUUUGAGAAAGUUCUCUCAAAUGUUCAUAAUGAGAAUAAAAAUCUCAAUAAUAAAAAUUAGGAAAUAAUAUGCUUCAGUGAACUAUUUAAGUGUAUUUUCACUGUGCUGUUACAUUAAAGACUUCUAAGAUUAGCAAGAUUACUUAUAUUUUAGGUUAAUGUGAGAUAAUGUGUUUCAUCAAAGGAUUGACUACUUCAUAAUUAAAUUGCCUUUGAGCACAGUGGUAGUGGGGUUCAUUUUGUGAAAAUUAUUGACAUGGUAUUGUGCUGCAAUAUCAUGCAUGUAUAAAAAGUACACCAACAUAAGUUCUUUGUCUUUGAACACUGUACAAUCAAUAUUCUAUUACCACAAUGCUGGUUUUGUUGCAUUGUAGCUAAAUUAGAAUGUCAGGUAUAGAGAUGCUUAAAUCAGACUUUCAAGUAAUGAGGACGAUACUAGAAUUCUAAUUAUUUUCUCACCUGACAUGUAUUUAUCUUUUUCCCAGUGUUUUGGUUAUUUCUUAGUUUAAAUGUCAUUAAGAUGUUUGUAAAUAUCUAAAGAAUUUUAUUCUUUAUAUUGUUGUGGAUGAAAAUAUAUGAUAAAAAUUUACAUUUCAGUAAUAAUGAUGAUGACAUUUGUAUAGGGCCUCAUAGUUAAUAUCCAGUAAGCAUUAAUUCUCCAUUUGGUAUAAAUGCAAAAUCUGAUAAAAGUAUGAAAUGUAGGUUAUUUUUAAAUAUGUGAAUGAAAUACAGAAAUGAUAUUGAAAUGCUGAUAAAGUUACAUAAUAAAUUUAUAGUAUCUAAAGUAUGGAUUCUCUCUAUAAUCUUUUAACUGGAAAUUCACUAAGAGAAAGAAAAUAUAACACAUGUAUGUGAACAUAAUAUGUAACAUGGCACCUUAAAAAUGCAUAGAAGCUAAUAGAAACACUGAAUUUCUCCUAAGCAGUCUUAUAUCAUUUUAAUAUUUCUAAUAACAUAAAACCCAGGUUAUUAAUGAUAUGGGCAAUAUUAUAUUGAAACCUUCAUUGUCUUUGCUUGUUAUUAUAAAUAGGGAUUAACUUUGUAUAUGUUUUUCUGAUUGUUUUCCCAGCAUGUUCAAGCAUGCAUUGUAAUUUUGCCUAAGAUUUCAAGUUUGUAUUUCAUUUAUGGAUUUUAGAAUAACUUUAGGAUUUAAUAUUUGUGUGUGUUUCCAAAAACUAGGAUUAAGGUGGAUUGAGAAUAAUAAAUAUUAUAUAUGUAUAUGAUAUUUUUAAAUAUUUUGUACAUAUGUGUGUGUAUACACAUUUGCCCAACCACAAAGUUAUCAAACACAAUUGAUGGCUUUAGUGAAGCUGAAUAAUGGCAAACUGGUUUUAAAAAUACACCCCAUUAGAAGUAUUUGAUCUAAAUUGGAUAAAAGGAGUUUUCUUAGUUAGGAAAACUAUAUGACAUUUAUCCAUACAUUGUGGAUGACCCAUAUAUAUUCAUUUUUGUCUUCUGGUACCUGCAGAUUUUCUAGGAGGGUAGUUUGGCAAGAUUAUGUGAAAAAACAGAUUGCUGUUUAACAGAAACUUCUUUCACGGUAAAGUCCGAUAUUUGUUUAGUUUUUCCCUUAUUUUUGUUUUUAUGGUUGCAAAAAUGCAGAUCUGAGUUAUCCCCACUGAUAAUAGUUCUGAGUGAAGUUGUAAGGAAAAAGUGGUAGCGGGACAUCAAACCUACCAGCCUCAGUAAAAGCAGAAAUUCAGGCACUAUAGGAGGCUUUGGAGGCUUCUGCUACAAGGUCUGGAUGUUGCUUUAGUCUCUCUGCCUUUCAAUUGACUCAAGUAAUCUCUAAAUUCUUGCCUUUCUUUUUACCAUCUGGCUUUCUAAACUCAUGUUCUCUUUUUCUUAAUUUUUGUACCUUUAUAAUGCAGGUUCACAUGUGGAAGGGUCUACACAGCCUCACAGGUAUGUGGUGAGCAACCUCCUCUGUCAACAGCACAGAGGCUUUGCUCUGAGGUAGAGGCUGGUUUUUCAACAUGAUAGAGGGCAACAGAAGAUUAGACAUGAUGGAGGCACCACAACAGGGGUUAUGUCAGGGUUCCAGAAAAGUUUUUACUGAGUAAGUCUAGGAAAUGGGGUGGUGAGGAGAGUGCUACAGAUCUCUGCUGUCAUCUGGGUGAAACUACGGACAUCUGCUGAAACUACUUUUGCCUGGUCAUUUGCUUGGAAACUGUACUUGGUAGGUAAGCAAUGAAUGCCUGUUCUGUGAUUGAUACCAAAUGGCCUGAAAAUCCACAGGAGCUGUGUAGGUGGCAUUUCGACUUAUAGCCAGUGCCAUUCGUAAGGUGCUGAGCCAGGUGUUUAACAUAAAUUAUCUCAUUUGUUUGCUCUGACAACAUAAUAAGAUACAAGGUCUCUCUGAGUUGCUUAGGACCUUUCUGAGUUGGCUUUGAACUCAAGAUGCUCCUGCCUCAGCCUCUCUGAGCCUCUGGGAUUACAGGACUCUUAAGUCUCAUGUCCAUGUCCUGUCUGGUUUUAGUAUCAGUCUCAUUGAAUGAGCUGGGGAGUGUUCUCUCUUCUUUUAAGCUUUGGAGGAAAGUUCAAGAAGUACAUGUUUUACACAUAUGGAAGUAUGUAUCUUUCUUUAGCUCCUGGCCAUUUGAGGAUAGUUUGAUUUCAAGGUCAUUUCUGUUUUAGUCAGCUUUUUCAUCACUGUGACCAGAAGACCCAUCAAGAACACCAUAGAGGAGGAAAAGUUUUUUGGGGGCUCACAGUUUCAAAGGUCUUUAUCCAUAAAUGGCUGAUUCUACUGCCCUGGGCCCAGGGUGAGAUAGAACAUCACCACCAAAGAGUGUGGCAGAGGAAAGCAACUCAGGACACGAUCACCAGCAAACAGAGAGAGACUAUUCUGCUCAACAAGGACAAAAUAUCAACCCCAAAGACAUGUCCUGAGUGACCCUCUUUCUCCAGCCACACACUACGUGUUCGUAAUUACCACCCAGUUAAUUCCUAUUGGAGGAUCAAUGCACUGAUUGGGUUAAGGCUUUCUUGACCCAAUCAUUUCACCUGUAAGCUUUCUUGCAUUGUCUCACACAUGAGCUUCUGGGGGACACACCAUAUCUGAACUGUAACAAGGUCCUUCUCUUCAACAGAAGUUGUAUUUGUUUGUUUUAUAUUAUGGAGGCAUAGGCUGUACUAUUUAUCGUUGUUUUCCAAAUGUCUAGCAGAGCUUGAGGAAUUAGUAGGAAUUUCAUGGUGUACUCCAUGAAUGUAUGAAGAUCGUGUUUUUCAUUCUCAUAAUCCUGUUUUUUAUGUAGGAGCUAUCUAUCCUUGCUGAUCUAGAUCACAGUGAUUAAGAACAAGAGUUUUGGCAUCAAGCAAGCCUAGAUUAACUAUUGACUUUUGUGAAGUUACUAAACACUCCUGUAAACCUCAACCUCUACAUCCAAAAAUUGAUAAAUGGUGUGCUUCAUAUAAAGCCCUUUGAAGUGUUUGGCACAUAAUAAACUCAUGAUAGAUAGGCUUUAUUAUGAGCAGUGGAUUUUAUAGGACAUUUGCUUGCCUUGUUGCAUACAAAAAUCUACUUCUAUGAAAUACAGAGCAUCCAAACGAGUCAGAGUCCCCCCCCCCAUUUUCUGUGUUACAUAAAAAGAGCAGUCCCUUCCUGAUCCCAAGCUAUUAUUUUAUUCUUUAAUGAAGACCUCUUUGUAUCUCUCUGGAGCAAUGAAUAAAGGUCCCAUUAAGAGAUUAUAUAUAUGACGAACUGUACUGUUUCUUGGAAAAAGACAUGAUGGGUGAAGAGAAAUUUGAGUCCUACUGUGUUAAAGAUAAAGGUGAAAGGUCAUUCUGAAUAUGAUGCUUCCAGCAAGUCAGUCAGCCCCCACACUGAGUUCUAGGGUAUAGCCCUUAAAGAAGAAUGAACAAAUACCAGUAAGUGGAUGGAGUUAGAGAAGAUAAUGCUAAGCGAAGCUAGCCAAUCCCCCCCAAAAACAAAUGCCAAAUGUUUUCUCUGAUAUAAGGGGGGUGACUCAAAGUGGGGUAGGAAGGAAGAGCAGAAGAGGAAGAUUACCUCUAGAUAGGGAAUAGGGGUGGGAGGCUAAG